rnacentral:rRNA from 1 species
CACGUAGGGCGCAAGCGUUGUCCGGAAUUAUUGGGCGUAAAGAGCUCGUAGGCGGUCUGUUGCGUCCGCUGUGAAAACUCGGGGCUUAACCCCGAGCCUGCAGUGGAUACGGGCAGACUAGAGGUAGGUAGGGGAGAAUGGAAUUCCCGGUGUAGCGGUGAAAUGCGCAGAUAUCAGGAGGAACACCAAUGGCGAAGGCAGCUCACUGGGACGUUACUGACGCUGAGACGCGAAAGCGUGGGGAGCAAACAGG